rnacentral:rRNA from 1 species
GUNUUGGANNCUGGGCGUAAGGGCACGUAGGCGGUGAAUCGGGUUGAAAGUGAAAGUCGCCAAAAAGUGGCGGAAUGCUCUCGAAACCAAUUCACUUGAGUGAGACAGAGGAGAGUGGAAUUUCGUGUGUAGGGGUGAAAUCCGUAAAUAUACGAAGGAACGCCAAAAGCGAAGGCAGCUCUCUGGGUCCCUACCGACGCUGGGGUGCGAAAGCAUGGGGAGCGAACAGGAUUAGAUACCCUGGNUAGUCCAA